CCUCUACUUUUCCCUUCCUCACAAAGCAAACGCACGGGCCAUGUUCUCCAGCUCCACACGCAACCACUCCUCCGCGUCGCCGCCGCCUCUGCCUCACCCCGACUCCUUCCGCAGCAAUGGCCUACCUCAUCUCCCCUCCGCCGAUGUGGUGCUAGCCACCACCACCGAGCCCUAGCAGCAAAGGGAGCGGUGGCUUAUUCCACGCGUGCAGCGGCGACCCCGGGAGGAGCUCAAGCCGCAGCGAUGGUCCACCGCGCCGGCGCCGUCGUCGACCGGCAGUGGAGGAGCAGCAGCGGCCAACGGCAGAUCGGCGUGUCAUGGGAGCAGACACGGCGGCCGUCACGGGCAGAGCAGAGCGAAGUUGGCAUGGCGGCUAGGCGGUUGUCCGGACUGGAUCCCGCCAUCACCACCAGCCACCGCCUCGUUUGUCCGUGUCCAUCUCGGCGAAACCAAGGGUCUGCCUCGUGUCCUGCGAGGUGACACUCCACCGCCACCGCUCUGCUGCUUCCGCCCUACGCUUUGCUCCCUCCGGUGCCAUCCUCACCUCCGACAAAAAGGACCUCUUGGACGUCAUUGCACAUGCUGGCCUCUUCCGACCCCGUGGCCACCGUGAUCAGGUAAUUGAUUUUGUGUUCCUGGGUUCGGGUAAGAAGCUAGUGACCUGCUCCAAGGACAAGGUUAUCUGGGUUUGGGACCUCGACACACAACACUGCCUUCAAAUUGUAAGGUGUCCAUCACAUCAAGAUAUGGUCGAUGGAUGUUGAUUCUAGCGAGAAGUUUUUGAUGUCUGUCUCGGCCGAUCAAGAGCUGUGGGUGUUCAAAAUCAGGCAAUCAGCUGAACAGGGUGAAGAUUGGAACAAAUGGGAUGCACUUCAGCAUUGAUCUAUUGUGAUUCCUUUUCCCCUUUAAUAACGUGUACGUAUAGGGUAGUCAAGCGCCACAGGAUAUCAUCCUUUGUUGUGGAUGAGAGUGGGAUGAUCAAUCGGAUUGCCGGGGUAGUACAACAUUGAGUCAUUGGCAGUUGGGCUCAACAAGGACAAGGCGUUGUUCACCAUAGGGGUAUUAGGAACAGAGAAAAUACUCACACAAGGCAUGGAGCAGCUACAAACUUGUUAAUGUUAUACACGUCAGCAUUUUCUUCUUCCAGUAUCCCGUGAAUAUUAAAAAUGUUUGCUAACUAAUAGUCAUCACAGUAUCUGAUAUUCGUAGUUUUAUAUAUCAAUUGACAGGUUGAUGAUUUGUCAAAGGAAUUUUAUUGCAAAUUCCUGUAGGCCUGAAAAUGCACACUAUCAUAACAGAGUAAUGUGCAAGUACACAAUGUCAUAGUAGAAAAAUAGAAUUUUGACUGAUUAUUUAACAUCACUGUGAGCUUUCCUUUAAAUUUGUGCCUUUUGAUUUACCCCUGCUAUUGUAUAAGUAUGUGUAGGUUGAUUUUGCUUAUUGUGUGUUUUAUACAGCGAGCAGCUUCCCUUGCGCCGUCAUCCAUCCACCAACAAGCCCAUGACCAUGCAUCAGGUCAUAAAAAAAUUCAAAAAUUAUUUCUUAUCAAUAUGUUUCAAAUAUGUUUCAGUUCUAAAUUUGUUCCCUUUUCCCUUCAUUUUUCCAAGAACGGUACUGUUCGGCAUUAGUAGAUACUUCUACUAAGGGACAGGCAUGUAUGAUAGGUUAAUUUCACUUUUUUUAGGGGGGGGGGGAGAUCUCACUUCAUGUGUAUUAGUCCUUGCCGCAUGUGUGCUUUAUUGUGCAAAAUUGUUCCCUUUUGGAUAGAUGAAAGUGCAGAUUCCACCAAAGUAAAAUUUAGUAGGCUUUAUGUUAUCAAUUUAUUUUUGUUACAUGUUGCUAAAAGUAAAUGAAACGAAUUUCUUUCUGUUUUGGUUCAGAAAUAUUUGAUUUUUGGAGGAGAAAGGUCAUACAAGGAUGAGAAUGGGACACCAUAUUAUAGCGACGUGGUGAUUUUAUUCAGUUUAGUCAGAGGACAUACAUACGUACAAGUAGUUCCCUAAGGCGAAGGCCUUCCAUUUGCUAUUGCUGGCCAUGUAAAAUAGCAUGAACCUGAACCUAACUGCGAUUGGAUGUCUAAACUGAAUUGUUGCAUUCCUAGACAUGGGAAUGUGGAUCAGUUUUAGUUCUGAAGAAUCUGCAUACUUCUGGUCCUAUGUAAUUCCAAUUUAUUUAGACAAGCAUGCCAAAAGUGUUGAAACCCAAGUUAGGGUUCAAAUUCGUGGGGUUGUGCUUGCUGCUAAACUGAUCCUGGACUUUCUGUUGGCUAUAUUAUAAUUAGCAAAUGGAAGUGGAGAGAUAAAGCAUAAAUACUUGAUAAACUUUUUUUGUUGGGGCGGGGGAUGGUUUAGUCCAUAGUUAAAAAAGGCGCGCCUAAGCGCUCGCUUAGGCGCGCCUAGGCUCUAGGCGUUGACAAAACGCAUUGCACAUAACUACGCUUAAUCUGUGCAUAACUACGCAUAGGUUACAAAACGCACAAUUAACGCCUAGCACUUUUUUGAACUAUGGUUUAGGCACUUCAUGCAUUGUUGGUGUUGCAGACUUUUGCACUGCUACUAAAUGUCCUAUAUGUUAUUCUUUAGUAGGGAUGUUGGCAUAGAGAUAUCGCAAUAAUAAAAACGAGAAUCCUCAUUACUCACAUAUAUAUUACUAUGUCCUUUUGUUUCCAUUGAGACCUAUUUUGUUUAUUCUUUUAGUUCCAAGGCAAAAUUCUCUGAUUUUUAGUAAUUCACAUUUAACAAGACAUGUGAAUGGAGGAUGGGAGGCAUUUAGAUGCAAGUCAGAAACUUCUUCUGCUAGCUUAUUUUAAGUUUAUUAUUUCCUUGCUCCCCUUUUCAUUGUAGAGAAUGAAAAGCAUCUUUCACGCUGCCAACGGGAUCUGGACCAAGAAGAGGAUCAGGAGGACGAAUACAGUGGACACUACUACUCAGCAAGAUACAGUUCAAACCCUGUAUCCUCCUGAUUGAUCUCCCUUUGCCCCUGUUUAAGAAUCAUGUUUCACCCAUUCAGUGUUGUCUUCAGAAUUAUAGACACCUCAUUCUAUAAGGAGGCCGCCACCAAGAAGAGCGAGGUUGUGUCAAUGGACUCAGCGACAAGUUGUAGAAAGAAACAAGGCUUAUGUUAGGCAAAGUUGAUUAGGUUGUACUACACACCGAGUGCCUCCAUAAGAAUCUAGAUAAAAUGCCAUAAAAGUUGAAGGGCCUAGCUUGGACAAGAAGGAACAACAUUGGAGCAUUAUCAAGCAUGAAGAUGAAGGCGCGCGCGAAGAGAACAAGAACAUAGUUUGUAGUGGAGAUUUCCGCACUUUGAAGCCACCAUGAUGUCAUAUAAGAAGAUGGAUGAAAUAUACAACAUGGCAUUUUAUAAAUUUCGCCCAUAGCUUAUUAUUGGUGUUGCGCCACCUUAUUUUUUGGGCCAUGUCCAUGUAAUUUUCAAAUACUACUUCAUAGGCUGUUUUUAGAGUCCAUAUUAUAGGAGAAACGAACCAGGAGGUAUUUUAGUCCCACCUUGCCAAGUGUGGACGAAAUCCCAUCUCUUUUCCCCUAUAAAUAUAGCCCUUAAGGCAUCGUUUAGACUUGGGA